rnacentral:rRNA from 1 species
GAAAAUAGAAGAUCUAACUGAAAUAAACUUGUAGGGUGAAAAAGAUAAUGUAACAAUUAUUAUUUAUUCUUAAAGUCAGUUAGGGAUGAAAUGUCUUCAAUUCUAAAAUAUCUGGAUGAAUAUGAAAUAUAUUUAGUAUAGGAUUAAUUCACAGAUUUAAAAUGUUAAGAUUUUAAAUAACCUUAAAAUUUUGAUUUUUAACUAGAAGUUAAGUGUUAAUCCUCUUAUCAAUACAUCUAAUAAAAUACAUCUAAUUUUAAUUAAGGUUUGUAAUAUUGUAAUUAUAAAAAUAUUAUUAUAAUUAAAUUAUGUUUAGAUUAGUAAUAUUUAUAAAAUCAGAAAAAGAAACUCGGCAAAAAUAUUCUUCAACUGUAUAACAAAAACAUAGCUUAGCGACAUAAUUAAUUUUAAUGUUAAGUGUUUUCUGCCCAGUGAUUUAUUUAACGGCCGCAGUACCUUGACUGUGCUAAGGUAGCAUAAUAAUUUGGCUUUUAAUUGGAGUCUCGUAUCAACGAAAGGUAGGAGAAUAACUGUCUCUUAUUAAUUAAUUUUAAGUUAAUAAGAAGGUGAAAAUUCCUUCAUUUCCUUUUAUAGACAAGAAGACCCUUAGAAUUUUUAUUAAUGAGAUAUUAAUUUAUUUCAUCAUUUUUGUUGGGGCGACAAGGUAACAAUAGAACUUACUUAAUACGGAGUAAACUAGUCAAUUCUUUAAUAGAAAGAUUAAAUUACCUAAGGGAUAACAGCAUAAUAUUGAUUUGAUUGUGACCUCGAUGUUGGAUUAGGGAAGAUAAUAGCUAGUAGUUAUUAUACUAGGUUCUGUUCGAACUACAAUACCUACAUGAUCUGAGUUCAGACCGGUGUAAGCCAGGUCAG